rnacentral:lncRNA from 10 species
GCCAUGAUGAGCUGGGCUUUGGGGUGCCUGCUGCUUCCUGCAUUCCUGUGGGCAGGCCCAGUCUACACCGACAUCGGGAGACCUUCGUGCCUGGUGUCCAUUUCCCCAACUCUAUAGACUUCUCCCCUCCUGGGUCUGCUGCCUGGAGUCCAGUCACCCUGGGUCCCCUCAUUUCCCAGUCCAGCUCCCUGGUGCAGUCUGUGGGGGCUGUUAAGAUGCAUACUUUCCUGUUUGCUGUACAUGGCUGUUUAGCAGAAGCUGCGCUGGGAUUGGAGCCUCGGUCUCUGUCCUCAAAGCCCACAUUCUCACCUACUACAACACCUUGGCAGGCUGCAGGUGGACAGAGGCUGUUAAGUUUCCAGGCAUUCAGGCAGUUAUAUUUCCCAGUCCCCUUGCAGCUUUCUUGGUGGAGUCUUGCCGUGGAAUGGAAAAGCCUACUUUCUAUCACUUCCUGGAGGUUUGUCCGGAACCACAGCUGGCUUUGAGGGAGUGAGAAAUAAAUGUGUAAAGCCACUGAGAUUUUGGAGUUGUUUGUUACCACAGUAUGACCUCCCUUGACCAGGGGUUGUUGGAAAGCUUUUCCUACAAAGGGCUGGAUAUUUUAGAUUUUACAAGUCAUAUGGUCUCUGUCACAACUACCAACACUUUUCCAUUGUAGCAGAAAGCAGCCAUAGAUAAUAUAUAAAUGAAGGAGCAUGGCUGUGUUCCAAUGAAACUUUGUUAACAAAAAUAGGUGGUAGAUUUGGCCCGUGGACCAGCAUUUGCAGACCUCUGCUCUUGAUGAAUACUUUUGUAUACUCAGGCUUUAUUAUAAAUAAAAUUCAAAAUGAUAGAAUCCUAAAACCAAUUCAGCUAAAAGCAGGAACAAGCAGGGUUGUCCACUAUCACCACUUAAUGACACUAUUUUAGAGGGUCUAACUAAUGCAAUAUGUUAAGACAUUUAAGCAAUUGGUAUAAAUAUAGGCAAAAGGCCGAUUGUGGUGGUUCACUCCUGUAAUCCCAGCACUUUGGGAGGCCGAGGCAGGUGGAACAUGAAGUCAGGAGUUCAAGACCAGCCUGGCCAAGAUGGUGAAACCCCGUCUCUACUGAAAAUACAAAAAAUUAGCUGGGCGUGAUGGUGGGCACCUGUAAUCCCAGCUACUCAGAAGGCCGAGGCAGAGAAUUGCUAGAACCUGGGAAGUGGAGGUUGCAGUUGAGCUGAGAUUGCACCAUUGCACUCCAGCCUGGGUGACAGAGCGAGACUCCAUCUAAAAAAAAAAAGGCAAAAAAUGUUUUCUGAUAACAUAAUUAAAUACCCAGAAGAUCCAAGAAACACUAGUAAAAAUGACUAAUAUUUAUGUGACAAUUUGGUAAGAUGACUGAAUACAAUAGACAUACAAAAGUCAAUAAACUUGCUGUGUGUGCGUGUGCACAUGUGUUAAUAAAUCUCCUAUAUAUUCCCAAUAGCAGUACCCUACACAGUGAAAUGGGAAGUAUUCACAAUAGCAGUAAAAAUUACACAGUAAUUAGGAGUAAAUUUAACAAGAAAGAUAUAUCAUGUAAAGAAUAACAGAAUCUGGACAAAUGUGAAGACAUCUGCUGACUCCGUUUCUUGCUGGGGGGAACUGCAUAGCCACAUUAGAAAGGGUGGAGGAUUGGGACCACUUUGGAAUCCACCUACCACACAGGGAUUAUCAGCUUUGAAGGCCCCAUGACCAAGCAUGGCUGUGUUACCAGCAUCUAAUGCCUCAGUUUGGUGUUGAGGUAUUAUUUGCAGUGGAAUAAAAGUGAAAUGUAUUGUACAUAUCAUGGUCAAGGUUUCAUAGAGUAAAACCACUUGAGAGUCGAAUGUGUAGGGAUGCUCACACACAUCAAAUGGUAAGAGAAGUAACACAGGUCAUUUUUGGGGUUCUAGCAUUUUAAAUGAGCACAGAGGCAUUUUUCUAGUUAAUUACAUAACAGAGAGCAAAGACACUGGAAGCUGGAGCUGCCCUCUAUGGUGUGGCUUGUUAGGCCAUGACAGUUUGCACGUCCUUAGGUGCUGUUAUAGCUUCAGCAUCAUCGCCUUUCCGACAUUCUGAAUGACUGACACACAAGUAAGAAAGCAUUCUCUUCCAGCCCCACUGUGAAUGGGGAAAGAGCCCCGGGGCUGGGAGACCUGGGGCAGGCAGGGCCUGUUGGUGAGCCUGCAUCCUUCAUGCACCUCCUGCCCUGGAGGCUCAGGCCACUGCUGUCACUGGCAAAUAAUAAUGGGACAUGAACUCACCUCUUAUUAGGUCUCCAACUGAUCCCUUGACAAGCCAUCCAGAAUGUGCACCCAGAUGCUUUUAUGAGAAAACUCAUUAGGUUGCUCUGUACAAAGAAGCAUAUGCUGAAAGUUGAUGAAACUUCUGCGGUCCCUAAUAACCAGUCUUCCUGCCGUUGUUACUAAAUGUCGCCAGUUGUCUUUCAUUUUUUUCCGGUGGCACUACUGCUUAAUUGAAACCCAUCAAUCAGUUCUAUCAACUUGUCAGAAUGUGUGGAGCUGGGACUGUGCUCAGCACCAGGCUUAGCGUCUUUGAGAUGACAGAAAAGGUAUGUGACACAGUCACUACCUUCAAAGAAUCGAAAGUCUGUUUGGGAACAGUGAAGUGAACACUCAGGGCAUAGUUAUGGGAGAAAUCAGGCUGUGCAGGGCUGAGCUCAAGAGAGCAGGGGCUCUGGAAAGGAGAGAUCCAUGUGGGCUGGAGGAAGAGGCGAGGUGAGCCCAGCCUGAGAUGACCAGUGGGGUUUAGAUAUGUGGAAGAGAGAAGGGAGGGCAUUCCCGGGGCGGGUCAUGGUGCGGGGAAAUAUAAGAAGGUGGGAUUCAGGUUGGUGUAAGCUGGGGACAGUGAGGGUCUCAGGCCAUCAGGGGGUGGGCUUUGGAGCAUGUGGGGGACAGGGAGGAGCUGGUGGCGAGCUGUGUGCAGUGCCACGGGACCUCCUGAUGUGUGGCACGCAAAGCCCCAUUGUUCUCAUCCACGUUCAAACCUGUUGUUGGGCGGGCGUGCCAUGAGCUGGGAGGAGCGGGAGCCGAGGAUGCUAAGGGCACUCUGUGGAGCAAUUCUCGCUGCAGGGCUGGUCAGGGAGCGUCUGGAUGGUUUGGGGCAACUUCCUGAAUCUCUCUCCCUUGGUUUUUCUCAUUUAUAAAAUGGGAGUAAUGACAGGUUGCUGGGAGUGCUGCUGAGGCACGUGGAAGUGAGUGGGCUCCCCUAGCCCCGACCCAGUCAAGACCAAACCAGGUCCCAGCAUAUCUCUGUGCUCCAAGGUACCAUGAAGCUUGGGGGCCAGCAGAAUUUGAAACAGACUCUUUUCCUCAUAAUCUCAGGCCAUGACCACAUACUUUUGGCUUCGUUUCUUUGGCAAGAGUCGUUUUGUGAGCUGGUUCCUAGAUAAUGAGGACCUGUGAGGAGUCCCGGCCCGCCGACAGCCUCAGCACAGGGUCACUGCCACGUGGGACCCAGGCCAGAGACAUCCUGCCUCCUAGGAAUGGAUUCCAGAGGCCCUGGUCACUGACCAGCACACCUGUGGGUGAGACACAAACCCCCUCCUCCCACACGGAGCCAGCACUGUCUUUGCAUUGUAUAUUUUGUAUAAAAAGAGCUCCAAUGUGGGAGCAUUUCCUUUUUUUGUCUAAAAUUGUCCAGAUUGUUAACACCAUCAUUAUCUGGACCCAGUUAAUUACAUUCAAACUUGCUUUUGUCCUAAGCGAGAGUUAUUUCUGCGACUUCUUACACACAGUUUCCUAAACACAGCGAAGAAAACACUAGCCUGGAUUUCAUCUUCAGCUCCUCAUCUUUACAAAGAAGGUACCAGCUGUUUGUGAACCCGCAGGGCAUUAAACGCGCAGGAGCCUUGGACGGGAGCAUGGAGAGAGAAAUCCACAGGUUCCACCCAGGCUUUCUGAGCAAACAAAACCAGGGAAGGCAAACACAGGCCUUUUGUUCUGACCCCAUGGUUCUAGCCAAGCGCUGCUUCGCUAAGGUUGACCUCACAGAGCUGAAGAGUGUGGCGUGAAUUGCCAAGUUGACUGGGGCCAUCCUGUGUGCCAGGGGACUUGGCCCUCCUCCCAUGGCCAGUUUGCCUCUCACCUUCACACCCUGCCUCGCGGCCCAGGGGCCUCGGCGCAGGUGGGGUGAGGGAGACAUCAGCAGGCUCCAUCUCCCAGCAACAGGGUCGCUUUGAUGGGUGCAGUUUCUGAGCCCGCUCAGCCAAGAUCAGUAAUAGCUUCCUCCUUCUCCUCCCCCACACAGACCUAGAUAUGUUUUCUUCUACAUGUAAGUUAUUGAAAAUAGUCAAAGGCUCAUCAAGACUUUGAAGAAAUUCUUUCUUAUGAACUCUUGUCCUUUUAAUUAGCAGGAAGUAAAUUCAUGUAAAACAGUUUUGCGAUCGCACAAGCAGAUAGGAGGCGAUCAGAAAAUGUGCUUAUCCUCAUCUCCCAGCUUGACUUUCGUAUUGCGGGGAAGUCCUUCAUCCUUCUAUCAACACUUUCUUUAUUCCUGCCUCAAAUCCUGGCUGCUUAUUUAAUCUGAUGAAAGUCUUCUUUGCCUGUGUCUGCUCUAACCCCAGAUAUGUGCAAUCAUAUAAAAUGGAUUCAUGUGUGGCUCUCUUGCUGCUGUGCCUAAGCCUGACAUUCUGGGUCACAUGCACUGGAGAUGCAGGACAGGCUUCUAAACCACGUGAACAGAGAGUGCGGACACACGGCUUGCCUUUAUCUCCGUCCCAGGGUUCACAAGAUCAAUCACAAUAUUGUUCCCGCUGACCCUGGGAGGAAAAGUCAUGAAACCCAACCCAUGCCCCGUCCUCCCAGGGAGUUCGGGAAGAAAAUUGCAGUCAAAGAUUGAAGGAACAAGGACUGGAAGGGGAAUUGUCCCUGGAAACCAAUCUGCAGGCGGCUUCCUUUUCUCCCGAAACAUGCCUUUUUUACUUUUGAGUCGCGGUCUCACUCUGUCAGCAGGGCUGGGACGCAGUGGCAUCCCAAAUUGCUUGGAUUACAGUUGUGAGCCACUGGCUCCCAGGUCCAAAACAUGCCUUUUAUUUUUAUUAUUAUUUAUUAUUAUAUUUAUUU